UACAGAGGGUGCAAGCGUUGUUCGGAAUUACUGGGCGUAAAGAGUGUGUAGGCGGUGCUCUAAGUUUGGUGUGAAAUCUCCCGGCUCAACUGGGAGGGUGCGCCGGAAACUGGAAUGCUUGAGCGUGGGAGAGGAAAGCGGAAUUCCUGGUGUAGCGGUGAAAUGCGUAGAUAUCAGGAGGAACACCUGCGGUGUAGACGGCUUUCUGGACCAUUGCUGACGCUGAGACACGAAAGCGUGGGUAGCAAACAGG
rnacentral:rRNA from 1 species